rnacentral:rRNA from 1 species
CCUACGGGUGGCAGCAGUGAGGAAUAUUGGUCAAUGGGCGGAAGCCUGAACCAGCCAAGUCGCGUGCGGGAUGAAUGCCCUACUGGUUGUAAACCGCUUUUGCACGGGGGGAACAAGCUCUACGUGUAGAGGUAUGCAGGUACCAUGCGAAUAAGCGCCGGCUAAUUCCGUGCCAGCAGCCGCGGUAAUACGGAGGACCCGAGCGUUAUCCGGAUUUAUUGGGUUUAAAGGGUGCGUAGGCGGCAGUUCAAGUCAGCGGUAAAAUAGUGGGGCUCAACCGCGCUACGCCGUUGAAACUGGAGGGCUUGAGUGCAGAAGAGGCAGGCGGAAUGCGUGGUGUAGCGGUGAAAUGCAUAGAUAUCACGAGGAACACCGAUAGCGAAGGCAGCCUGCCGGAGUGCGACUGACGCUGAGGCACGAAGGUGUGGGUAUCAAACAGGAUUAGAUACCCGUGUAGUC